AUGGUUCCUUCCUCUCAUGUUUUACAAACGAUGUACUUUUUGACUAUAGAAAUGACAAUUUAUUGUUUUCAUCACUCUGUUUACCAAAUAAUACACCACCUGGUUCCGCCUCUAUUUCUUGCUUGCAGGGCCUUUGAUCUUGAAGUUCUCUUCUUCUUCUUAAAUGUUAAUCGCAAGUUCUUUUUUUCUUCUUUUUCUUUCACUUUUAAGCUCGAUUUUUGA